CUUGAGCUCGCUUAUGGCGCGCGGCGGAGUUCAUUCUCGAAAACGGCGUAGGUACACACAUGGGUGCAAUCGUUGGCGAGGCCGAGCUUAUUGAGGCUGCAUCGAUCGGGCAUUUCUACUCAUGAUGAGAACGGGUCAUACCCUGCUAGACGGGCGCUGAGGCCAGUCUAGCAUUCCGGGGUCGAAGGUGUGCUUGGUGGAGUGCCCCGAGCCCGAGGGUCGAGGCGUAUUACUGAAGAGGGCGCCCAACCUUGGUCGGGCGAGUCGACAAAUACAGGAGGGCGCCCCGAUCUUGGCCGGGGCGUGUCGGCGAAUAUCCGAGGUUGAAGGAGCUUUCGGUAGAGUCCGAGGUCGG
rnacentral:lncRNA from 1 species